AAGUCACUCAACUGAUUAAAUACUGGAGCCUCACCAGCCACAGUGGUGUGCACCUGUAGUCCCAGCUACUCAGGAGCCUGAGCUGGGAGGAACACUUGAGCCCAGGAAUUCAAGGGUCCUGGAACCCUCCCCGAUAUGCUCCUGCAGGUGGCAACAGAGGCCAAGGAAAGGCGAAGCAUCCUGGUGGAAUCCCCCGUAUGAGGUAGAAGGCAUCAAUUCUGA